GUAUGCUUUACCACAUCCAGUGUUACUCCACCACUGUGCCAUUAUAGUCCAGUCACGCUUUUGUUAUGCUCUUUAGUUGACUCAUAGAUAUCGGACCUUGUUAUGCAUGUUAUGUGGAUCUUGCCUUCUUGGACUGUAUUGUCGUGCACAACUUAGUUUAUGAUAAAGCCCGUUGAACAUCAUGCCUUUGCCUGCAAGUCCUGCAUUUGGGUCCCUCCCUGCACUGCUGGCUUAUGACAGCAAAAGUAACUAGUAUUCGGCCUUUUUAAUGCACAAGUCAACCAUGAGAGUAAAGGGUCCAAGCUGUGAUUGUUCAUCUGCCGCAUCAAACAAAGAGAGACAUUAUGAAAUUCCAAGGUCAGAGUGACUCAACAUUCAUCGCCAAUUGAUUCCACAGUGGUCUGAGUUCUUUUUCUUACCAUGCGGUGGUCAUCAUUGGGCCCUCUUGGUACGGAGGUCUCCCCGUGGAGUCGAUGUUGGGAGCUGGGUGGAGAGAGGGAAGAAAGGGAGUGCUCUGGACUGCUGGCGUACAGCGAGCAAG